CUCGCAAAUUUGUAAAUAAUUCUUAUUCACAAUGAUACUGCGUGUGUUAUAUCACGCUGAUGUGAAGUCUUCCAUUUACUCUUCGUUGA